rnacentral:rRNA from 1 species
ACUCCUACGGGAGGCAGCAGUCGAGAAUCUUCCGCAAUGGGCGAAAGCCUGACGGAGCGACGCCGCGUGACUGAAGAAGCCCUUCGGGGUGUAAAAGUCUUUUAUCUGGGAACAAUAUCCACUUAGUGGGUGAGGGUACCAGACGAAUAAGGGGCCGCCAAACUCGUGCCAGCAGCGGCGGUAAGACGAGUGCCCCAAGCGUUAUCCGGAAUUAUUGGGCGUAAAGCGUCUGUAGGGGGUUUAGAAAGUCGAGGGUUAAAUCCUUCAGCUUAACUGAAGGGCUGCUCUCGAAACUUCUAGACUGGAGGAUGUGAGAGGCUGAUGGAACUCAGGGAGUAGGGGUGAAAUCCGUUGAUACCCUGGGGAACACCAAAGGCGAAGGCAUUCAGCUGGUGCAUUCCUGACCCUGAGAGACGAAAGCUAGGGGAGUGAAUGGGAUUAGAUACCCCAGUAAUCCUAGCUGUAAACGAUGGCUACUAGCUAUUUGGAGUAUCGACCCUUCAAGCGGCGAAGCUAACGCGUUAAGUAGCCCGCCUGGGAAGUACGGUCGCAAGACUAAAACUCAAAGGAAUAGACGGGAGUUUGCACAAGCGGUGGAGCGUCUGGUUUAAUUCGACAUUAAGCGAGGAACCUUACCAGGGUUUGACACUCUAGUGAAAGUCCGACGAAAGUUGGAUCUACCUACAAGGACACUAGAGCAGGUGCUGCAUGGCUGUCGUCAGCUUGUGACGUGAGUUGCUCCGUUAAUUCGGGUAACAAGCGCAACCCUUAUCCUGUGUUAUAUGUGUCACAGGAGACUGCCCUGUUAUACAGGGAGGAAGGUGAGGAUGACGNCCAGUCAGCAUGGCCCUUUGAUACCCUGGGCGACACAGGCGCUACAAUGGUUGGUACAAUGNNUGCCAAGUCGUAAGACGGANCUAAUCCCAUCAAACCAGCCCCAGUUNGNAUUGA